AUUGAACGCUGGCGGCAUGCUUUACACAUGCAAGUCGAACGGUAACAGGCCGCGAGGUGCUGACGAGUGGCGAACGGGUGAGUAAUGCAUCGGAACGUGCCCAGUCGUGGGGGAUAACGCAGCGAAAGCUGCGCUAAUACCGCAUACGAUCUAUGGAUGAAAGCGGGGGACCGUAAGGCCUCGCGCGAUUGGAGCGGCCGAUGUCAGAUUAGGUAGUUGGUGGGGUAAAGGCUCACCAAGCCAACGAUCUGUAGCUGGUCUGAGAGGACGACCAGCCACACUGGGACUGAGACACGGCCCAGACUCCUACGGGAGGCAGGAGUGGGGAAUUUUGGACAAUGGGCGCAAGCCUGAUCCAGCAAUGCCGCGUGCAGGAAGAAGGCCUUCGGGUUGUAAACUGCUUUUGUACGGAACGAAACGGUCCUGGUUAAUACCUGGGGCUAAUGACGGUACCGUAAGAAUAAGCACCGGCUAACUACGUGCCAGCCGCCGCCGUAACAC
rnacentral:rRNA from 1 species